rnacentral:rRNA from 1 species
UAGAGGAAGUAAAAGUCGUAACAAGGUUUCCGUAGGUGAACCUGCGGAAGGAUCAUUACCGAGUGAGGGCCCUUUGGGUCCAACCUCCCACCCGUGUUUAUUUACCUUGUUGCUUCGGCGGGCCCGCCUUAACUGGCCGCCGGGGGGCUUACGCCCCCGGGCCCGCGCCCGCCGAAGACACCCUCGAACUCUGUCUGAAGAUUGUAGUCUGAGUGAAAAUAUAAAUUAUUUAAAACUUUCAACAACGGAUCUCUUGGUUCCGGCAUCGAUGAAGAACGCAGCGAAAUGCGAUACGUAAUGUGAAUUGCAAAUUCAGUGAAUCAUCGAGUCUUUGAACGCACAUUGCGCCCCCUGGUAUUCCGGGGGGCAUGCCUGUCCGAGCGUCAUUGCUGCCCUCAAGCCCGGCUUGUGUGUUGGGCCCCGUCCUCCGAUUCCGGGGGACGGGCCCGAAAGGCAGCGGCGGCACCGCGUCCGGUCCUCGAGCGUAUGGGGCUUUGUCACCCGCUCUGUAGGCCCGGCCGGCGCUUGCCGAUCAACCCAAAUUUUUAUCCAGGUUGACCUCGGAUCAGGUAGGGAUACCCGCUGAACUUAAGCAUAUAAUA